UCCCUGGUGGCUCAGACAAUAAAGCUUCUGCCUGCAAUGCAGGAGACCUGGGUUUGAUUCCUGGGUUGGGAA
rnacentral:tRNA from 1 species